rnacentral:lncRNA from 1 species
UUGCAGAAUACAAUAGAUAUAAAGUGUGAGGCUGGUCCACAAAAAAAUAAUAACAAUAUCUUAUAUAACCUUACAAAUCUGCAUUUUCUUUUUAACACUGCUAUUCUGUGGCAUACCAUAAAGUCUGUCUAGAAUACAGACUUGGGUACCGAGCGAGGGUUUGUAUUUUUACUUUGUAUUCUUACUUUGACAUUUGUAUUCUUACUUUGACACUGUGAUGGUUAAUAUUGUCACCUUGAUGGGAUUAAAGGAUCUCUAGAUAGCUGGUAAAGUAUUGCUUCUGGGUGUGUCUGUCAGAGUGUUGCCAGAGGAAACUGACAUUUGAGUCAGUGGACUGGGAGAAGAAGACCAACCUUCAGUGUGGGUGGGCACCAUCCAGUUGGCUGCCAGUGUGGCUAGAACAAAGCAGGAGGAAGAAGGUGGGCUAAGCUGGCUUUCUCAGUCUUCUGGCUUCCAUCUUUUUCCUGUGCCGGAUGCUUCCUCCCAUCCCUCCUGCCCUUGGACAUCAGACUCCAGGUUAUUCAGCCUUUGGACACUGGGACUUGCACCAGUGGCUUGCCAGGAGCUCCCGGGCCUUUGGAUACAAACUGAAGGCUGCACUGUCAGGAUUCCCUGGUUUAAGACUUUCAGACUUGGACUGAGCCAGUUUCUCUCUUCCCCAGCUUGCAGACAGCCUAUCAUGGGACUUCACCUUGUAAUCAUACUGGGAACAAGAAGACCUGCAGGGUCAACUGACAUGAGGAACUACUUCCCCCUUGAAAAUGCAAGAAGAACCAGUCUCGGCAUAAGGUAGACACCUAAUAUAGCAGAGGAGAAGGUCAGAAAUAACAGAAGGUUUGCAUGAAAUUAUUGAAUCAAAGCUCACCAAACAUCUUGGUCAUUAGUUUUAUGAGACAGUAAACCACGAUACUAUCAUCAGUGUUUUUUGUUUCUGAUAUGGUUUGGCUGUGUGUCCCCACUCAAUGCCAGCCCGUGAAAGCAGCUGGGAGGGAGGCUAUACCCUGCAAAGCCACAGGGGCGGAGCUGCCCAAGACCAUGGGAAACCACCUCUUGCAUCAGCAUGACCUGGAUAUGAGACAUGGAGUCAAAGGAGAUCAUUUUGGAGCUUAAGAUUUGACUGCCCUGCUGGAUUUCAGACAUGCAUGGGGCCUGUAGCCCCUUUGUUUCAGCCAAUUCCUCCCAUUUGGAAUGGCUGUAUUCACCCAAUGCCUGUAUUCACUCAAUGCCUGUAUCCCCAUUGUAUCUAGGAAGUAACUAACUCGCUUUUGAUUUUACAGCUCAUAGGCAGAAGGUAUUUGCCUUGUCUCAGAUGAGACUUUGGACUGCGGACUUUUGAGUUAAUGCUGAAAUGAGUUAAGACUUUAGGGGACUGUUGGGAAGGCAUGACUGUUUUCGAAAUGUGAGGACAUGAGAUUUGGGAGGGGUCAGGGUGGAAUGCUAUGGUUUGGCUCUGUGUCCCCACCCAGAUCUCGAAUUGUACUCCCAUAAUUCCCACGUGUUGUGGGAGGGACCCAGUGGGAGAUAAUUGAAUCAUGGUGGUGGUUUCCCCUAUACUGUUCUCAUGGUAGAUGAAUCAGUCUCUUGAGAUCUGAUGGUUAGAUAAGGGAAAAUCCAUUUUGCUUGGCUCUCAUUCUCUUUCUUUGCCUGCUGCCAUCCAUGUAAGAUGUGACUUGCUCCUCCUUGCCUUCCACCAUGAUUGUGAUGUCUCCCCAGCCAUGUGGAACUGUAAACCGUCAGUGUGUUUCCAUAGACCAGGUUUUGACUCCCAGUAUCAGGAAUUCUACCUCAUAUAAUUGUGCAGUUGAGCUGUUGCACUCCACGUAAGACUUCAGCCAAGAAGACAACAGGGUAGCUGGAAGGCCAGACUUCUCUCAGCCAUCCUGGAGUCAACUUAAGAUGCAGACACCUUUUUCUAAUUGGCAUUGUCAGUGGGGGGCACUUUUUUCAAAUCUGUCCCCUUGGGGAAAGCUAUUUCUCUCAUAUGCAUCAAAGCACUGUAUAUGCCUGUUGGCCCUACCUAUAUGUAUCUCAGGAUUAAAUAAAUAAAUAAAUAAAUAAAAGCUAUUGCCUUGUUUUUCCAGGAAUAGUUCUGUAGUUUUUGCAGAACAAGAAGUCUGCAUUCAAAGUAACAUGCAGUUUCACUGUUAUUGCCCUGUCCAAGCUUGUGGUGUAAUUUCUUCUUCAUUCACUCAGUCUCACAAAAGGGAUAAUGAAAUCAACUUUCAUCCAACUUCAGGCAAUCAUAAAACUCUGAGAUUUACAGCUACCACUGCAAAGUCAGUGAGUAUUGUAAGAGCCUUGAAUUAGAACAAGUAGUAAAGAAUCCAUGUAAGAAUAGGAAGCUCUGAGGUUGUAUAUACUAAGACCUUAGUGUUACCUAGACUCACCUCACAGCUUGUGGAAAAAGCUGAUUCCUGGUCCUACCAUAGAUACUCUGACUUGGAUCUGAGGAGGGCCAGCUUCAUCUUGAGAAUUCUAUGUAGGGUAGGGCUUAGGGGAGGCCAUCUGGUUGGAAGACGAAGCUGGGAGGUUUGCCAUGAGGCUAUGUUUGUAAAGAAAGCACACUCUUUUUAACUUAGUGUGUAUGUUACAGAUCAAUAUCAAUAUAAAAGUUUCCUAAACUUUUACUCACACUUUAUAUAAAAGUGAUUACAUUGGCCAUAUUAAAAGUAAGAUUUUUAUUUGGGAAUGAAGGGAGCUGAUGGAGACUGGGUUGGCUACUGCCCUUGGCACCACCACUGAGUUUAACCCAGAUGUCUGCCUUUUUAACCAUCACCAUAGAAAAGCCUAGUUUAUUUAUUCAUCCACUCAACAAAAUGUUUAUUGAGAUACCAGUAUGUGCUGGACAUUGUUAGAGAUAUGUUCUUGGGAC